AGAGUUUGAUCCUGGCUCAGAAUCGACGCUGGCGGCGUGCCUAACACAUGCAAGUCGAACGAGAAAGUGGGGGCAACCCCAUGAGUAAAGUGGCAGACGGGUGAGUAACACGUGAACAACCUACCCUCGAGUGUGGAAUAACACCGCGAAAGCGGUGCUAAUACCGCAUAACAUCUCCGGGUCGCAUGAUCUGGAGAUCAAAAGCGCAAGUUGCUUGAGGAGGGGUUCGCGCCUGAUUAGCUAGUUGGUGAGGUAACGGCCCACCAAGGCUGCGAUCAGUAGCCGGCCUGAGAGGGCGAACGGCCACACUGGAACUGAGACACGGUCCAGACUCCUACGGGAGGCAGCAGUGGGGAAUUUUGCGCAAUGGGCGAAAGCCUGACGCAGCAACGCCGCGUGGAGGAUGAAGGCCUUCGGGUCGUAAACUCCUGUCAGUGGGGACGAAUGCUUCGCAAGAAGUUUGACUGUACCCGCUGAGGAAGCCACGGCUAACUCCGUGCCAGCAGCCGCGGUAAUACGGAGGUGGCAAGCGUUGUUCGGAAUUACUGGGCGUAAAGGGCGCGUAGGCGGCUUAGCAAGUCAGAUGUGAAAGCCCCGAGCUUAACUCGGGAAUUGCAUCUGAAACUGCUUUGCUUGAGUCCUGGAUGGGAUAGUGGAAUUCCCAGUGUAGCGGUGAAAUGCGUAGAUAUUGGGAGGAACACCUGCGGCGAAGGCGGCUAUCUGGACAGUGACUGACGCUGAGGCGCGAAAGCUAGGGGAGCGAACGGGAUUAGAUACCCUGGUAGUC
rnacentral:rRNA from 1 species